rnacentral:rRNA from 1 species
CACUCGGUACGGGCCUAUCUAGAGUUUGGUAGGGUGACAGGAAUUCCUGUGGUAGCGGGGGAAUACGCAGAUAUCAGGAGGAACUCCAAUGGGGAAGGCGGGUCUCUGGGGCAAGAUGACUCUGAGGAGGGAAAGCGCGGGGAGGGAACAGGAUUAGAUAUCUCGGUAGUCCGCGCCGUAUACGAUGGGCGCUAGUUGUGGGGACCUUCCACGGUCUCUGCGACGCAGCUAACGCAUUAAGCGCCCCGCCUGGGGGAGUACGAUCGCAAGAUUAAAACUCAAAGGAAUUGACGGGGCCCCGCACAAGCAGCGGAGCAUGCGGCUUAAUUGGACGCAACGCGAAGAACCUUACCAAGGCUUGACAUAUACCGAAAAGCAGCAGAGAUGUUGUGUCCGCAAGGGCGGUAUACAGGUGGUGCAUGGUUGUCGUCAGCUCGUGUCGUGAGAUGUUGGGUUAAGUCCCGCAACGAGCGCAACCCUCGUUCUGUGUUGCCAGCAUUAAGUUGGGGACUCACAGGAGACUGCCGUGGUCAACACGGAGGAAGGUGGGGAUGACGUCAAAUCAUCAUGCCCCUUAUGUCUUGGGCUGCACGCAUGCUACAAUGGCAGGUACAAAGGGCUGCAAUACCGUAAGGUGGAGCGAAUCCCAAAAAGUCUUUCUCAGUUCGGAUUGAGGUCUGCAACUCGACCUCAUGAAGUCGGAGUUGCUAGUAAUCGUAGAUCAGCAACGUUACGGUGAAUACGUUCCCGGGGCUUGUACACACCGCCCGUCACGUCACGAAAGUCGGUAACACCCAAAGUCAGUGGCCCAACCGCAAUAAGGGACCUGCAUAAGGUGGGA